rnacentral:rRNA from 1 species
AACGAACGCUGGCGGCGUGCCUAACACAUGCAAGUCGAGCGAGUGAAUCUCCUUCGGGAGUGAAGCUAGCGGCGGACGGGUGAGUAACACGUGGGCAACCUGCCUCAUAGAGGGGAAUAGCCUUUCGAAAGGAAGAUUAAUACCGCAUAAGAUUGUAGCUUCGCAUGAAGUAGCAAUUAAAGGAGCAAUCCGCUAUGAGAUGGGCCCGCGGCGCAUUAGCUAGUUGGUGAGGUAACGGCUCACCAAGGCGACGAUGCGUAGCCGACCUGAGAGGGUGAUCGGCCACAUUGGGACUGAGACACGGCCCAGACUCCUACGGGAGGCAGCAGUGGGGAAUAUUGCACAAUGGGGGAAGCCUGAUGCAGCAACGCCGCGUGAGUGAUGACGGCCUUCGGGUUGUAAAGCUCUGUCUUCAGGGACGAUAAUGACGGUACCUGAGGAGGAAGCCACGGCUAACUACGUGCCAGCCGCCGCAGUAAAAC